UGGCGAGGGUAAACGGCGGCCGUAAAGGGUCUUAAGGUAGCGAAAUUCAUUGUCUCUUAAUUGGAGUCCUGCAUGAAGUAACAACGAGGGGGAGACUGUCUCUUCAAGGUAUGUAGAGGAAAGUGACCUGUAGGUGAAAAUGCCUACAUACGCGUAAAAGGCGAUAAGACCCCGAGCAACUUUAUCUGUCGGAUGGAGUCGGUCCGUCUUCCAGGUUUGGCUGGGGCAGCAGGGGGAUAAGUAAAACUCCCACUAGUUACUUUAGCUGACGGGCUAAGACCUGCCUACUUAGCAAUAAGCGGGUUAGUUACGCCGGGGAUAACAGCGCGUUUCCCCAACAGAGGCCAUAUCAGUUGGGGUUCGGGCGACCUCGAUGUUGAAUCAAGGGAAAUCGGUAGGGCGCAGCAGCGUACCGGUGGGUCUGUUCGACCCUUAGAGUCUUACGUGAUCUGAGUUUAGACCGGA
rnacentral:rRNA from 1 species